rnacentral:rRNA from 1 species
UACGUAGGGUGCAAGCGUUAAUCGGAAUUACUGGGCGUAAAGCGUGCGCAGGCGGUUUUGUAAGUCUGUUGUGAAAUCCCCGGGCUCAACCUGGGAAUGGCAAUGGAGACUGCAAGGCUAGAGUUUGGCAGAGGGGGGUAGAAUUCCACGUGUAGCAGUGAAAUGCGUAGAUAUGUGGAGGAACACCAAUGGCGAAGGCAGCCCCCUGGGUCAAAACUGACGCUCAUGCACGAAAGCGUGGGGAGCAAACAGG